GGGAGCUAAAGGCUUUUCCGCAGAAGCAUCCCUUUCAGCGAGAGGCUUUUUCGGAUGGGGUCUUUUCAGACUGAGGAGUUGGCGAGGUCUUCUUGCAUAGAAGCAUGCCCUAGAGAGAAACAUUCCCGUGGCCUCUCCUGCCAUUCCUGGAUCUCUAAAAGACCCAUACUUAUUGAAGUCAAGGAAGGGCCAAUGGCGGCUUAGGGGCAUGAAGUACGACGUGUUGCACUCUGGGUUGAGGCAGUGGAAUGUCCUUGUGUUCUUCCCAGUGUCCUCUUUCCCCUUUACCAGUGGUUACCAACAAUUUCCCCUUUUUUUUUGCUUGUACACUCAAGUUUGAGUGUGUGUGUGUGUGUGUGUGUGUGUGUGUGUGUGUGUGUGUGUGUGUGUGUGUGAAAGAGAGUGUGUUUUGACUGCACGUAUGUUUGUGCACCAUGCGUGUGCCUGGUACUCUAUAAAGUCAAAAUAAUGGUGUUAAGUCCCCUGGGACCAGAGUGGUGGAUGGUUGUGAGCUACCAUGUGGAUACUGGAAACCAAACCUGGGUCAUCUGCAAGAGCCACAAGGGCUGCUGACCACGGAACCGUCUCUCCCACCGACAAUUUCUUACAUCCAGAUCCAAGCCACCUGACCCACCAGGAUCUGCAAGGAGUUCUCAGCCCAAGAGAGACGCCCAACCUCCACGGAUUCUGCCUGAGGAAGAGAGAAACUUACAAAGUCACGGGCUGCUUGCUAAAGCAGUAUAGUGCAGCUUGUCCUGGAGGCUUCCAGUUUGUGUUUUGAAUCUGUGGGGUGGGACUUCUCCAAGACAGAUGCUGCUCGGGUCCUUGUUGAGCAGCUGUGAGCCACAAAGGUCACGUUUCCUGGAACUCAAGUUGGCUUCCUCAUACACACCUGCCUCCCACCUCAGUAGGUGAAGUUCAUCCUGGGCCACUGCUGUUGUCUCUGAAGUCAUGGCUCUCAAGCCUCCAUGUGUAUCUGGAUUGGUCAGUGGAGUUGUAUAAACAGUGCUAGGCUCUGUCUCGGUAGAUGUUAUGAACUGAAGGUAACCCCCUGAAUUCCUGUGUUGAAGUCUUAAACCCCAACAUGACGUUAUUACCAGGUAGGGCCUUUGAUGAAGUCACAGAGGCAGAGCCCUCCUGGAUAAGAUUAGUACCCUUAUAAAAGUAUCCACAGCGAGGAGUUCGAUCUCCCUCUUCCAGAGAAUCAGUCUUCUAUAGCCUUGAAGAGUGUCAGCACCCGAACCAACCAUGUGAGGCUCUGGUAUCCACUUCUAGACUUGGGAACAGUGAGGAAUAAAUUUCUGUUUACAAA